rnacentral:rRNA from 1 species
UACGUAGGUGACAAGCGUUGUCCGGAUUUACUGGGCGUAAAGCGUGCGCAGGCGGUGGCUCAAGCCAGGCGUGAAAUCCCCGGGCUUAACCUGGGAAUGGCGUUUGGGACUGGGUCGCUAGAGUGUGGCAGAGGGAGGUGGAAUUCCACGUGUAGCAGUGAAAUGCGUAGAGAUGUGGAGGAACACCGAUGGCGAAGGCAGCCUCCUGGGCCAGCACUGACGCUCAUGCACGAAAGCGUGGGGAGCAAACAGG